GAGGGGUGCUAGCGUUGUCCGGAAUUACUGGGCGUAAAGGGUCCGUAGGCGUCUUGUCAAGUUGAUCGUUAAAUCCACCGGCUUAACCGGUGAUCUGCGAUCAAAACUGGCAGGAUAGAAUAUGUGAGGGGAAUGUGGAAUUCCUGGUGUAGCGGUGACAUGCGUAGAUAUCAGGAGGAACACCAAUGGCGAAGGCAGCAUUCUGGCACAAUAUUGACGCUGAGGGACGAAAGCGUGGGUAGCAAACAGGAUUAGAUACCCUGGUAGUCCACGCCGUAAACGAUGAGUACUUGGUGGUGGGGAUUCGACCCUUCACUAUCGGAGCUAACGCGUUAAGUACUCCGCCUGGGGACUACGGCCGCAACGGUACAACUCAAAGGAAUUGACUGGGGCACAUCCGCACAACGGUGGAACAUGUGGUUUAAUUCGAUGCAACGCGAAGAACCUUACCUGGACUUGACAUGUUCAGUGUAAGCCGAUGAAGCUUCGGUCUCUCCAGCCAUUGCUCAAAGACACAAUCAUCAGGUGGUGCAUGGCUGUCGUCAGCCUGUGUCGUGAGAUGUUGGGUUAAGUCCCGCAACGAGCGCAACCCCUGUCCUUAGUUGCCAGCACAUAAUGGUGGGGACUCUAAGGAGACUGCCUCCCAUAACCAGGAGGAAGGUGGGGAUGAUGUCAAGUCAGUAUGUCCCUUAUGUCCAGGGCUACACACGUGUUACAAUGGCCGGUACAAUGGGCUGCGAACCUGCGAGGGUAAGCCAAUCCCAAAAAACCGGCCCCAGUUCAGAUUGGAGUCUGCAACUCGACUCCAUGAAGGAGGAAUCGCUAGUAAUCGCGGAUCAGCACGCCGCGGUGAAUACGUUCCCGGGUCUU
rnacentral:rRNA from 1 species